rfam:TPA: Bos taurus chromosome 14, whole genome shotgun sequence.
UCCCUGGUGGCUCAGAGGUUAAAGCGUCUGCCUGCAAUGCCGGAGACCUGGGUUCGAUCCCUGGGUCGGGAA